ensembl:lncRNA
GAAGGCACGAGACGCGCGGACAGGAAAUGAUUUCAGCUGUCAAACUGCUUUGUGGCAGGUGCCACAGAGUGACGGGGUAAGCUGUUUUGGUCUCCGUCCUCGAUGCUGCUACAUCCGUCCAUGUCCCCGUGCUGCAGGGAUCCCCUUUGCCCUGCCUGGCCUGGCAGCAAUGCCGUAGAUAGAAGUCAAAAGCCUGGAUGGUCUCUGCCAGCUGCGUCACCCGUCCCGAUGCCGUGCCGCCCGUGGCGGGUGCCUGCUUUGCACCGUGACCAGCCCAGGGCCUGCCGUCAGCUCCCUUUGCUCCUGCAAAGCCUCUGAUGCUCCACUCCGUGUUGGAUCCGAGGAUCUUUGAGGAAGCCUGUGGAGCAGUGGAGCUCCUGGCCAGCACUUUGCCCCUUCGCACUCUGUGGCCACCAGCAACGGCAUCUACACACCCAAGCGACCCGUGGGCAGCAAGCUGAUCCUGGCUUCACAUGGGGCUAGGGCUUGACCCAAGAGGUUUCUCUCCGUCUCUGAGGAGCCAGGGAUUACGGCAGCUCCUAAAACACAGCAGCACUCUGCCACCACAGAGGACCCCGACCCGGACCCGACCCGUCGCCGGCGCAGCCUUCCCCGGCCUCGACGAUGCAUGCCAGGACCACAAAACUCUUGGCAACUCCAGCAAGCUGAGCUCAUUCUUCCCAGUUGAUGAUUUACUCAGAAAUGUUUCUGAGGUCAGUUCUCCAUCAGAAAAAUGCUGCCGAACACCCAGCGAGAAGCUGCUGCGUCUCGAGGAACCGCAUGCUCCGCUCGCUCAGCCUAAAAGUCACCCCGAUGACUAACCCCGGCGUCAGAGCGAGCGGGGCCAACGUGCUGCUGUUUGAUCUCACUGUUUUCUCCGGGGAAGCCAAAUUUCAGGCUGUUGCAGGGUUCUCUCCACUUCCCCGUAGCGGUUUCCUGCAAUGGCAUGGACAUACGCAUAUUUGGGAGCUGAGUCAGAGUCCUGCAAUAAGAACCACCUGGCCGUGCUCUUGCCGGCUGGGCUGGAGGAGCGUUCCCAGGGCCAACGGGGCCUCGGCUGUAACGCUUGGCGUCUGCGGGCAGCGUCUCUGGGGCAAAACUACCUACAAGGGACACAGCGUCCCACCACAGCACGCGGUUUCUGGCCCGGGCUGAAGCCAGCAACUUAUGGCAACUGAAUUGCUGCAACGUGGAUCCUGUGACUGCUGUCAGCUGACUGUCACUUGCAGGGCAGCAGGUUCCUGCACGGCUGCUGCUAAAUGCGCAUCGCUGCACGACGUCGAGGGACAGGCAGGCCCAAGGCCAGGUAGCGCAGGAGCCGGGGGAUGCCAGAGAUGGGGGAUUUUGGUGGCCUGGUGAAUAGCGCUGCCGAUCCAUCUCAGGCUGCAGGGUUACCGCUAGCCUGGAGGUCGGAUUAGCGCAGCACGUCUGGCUACGCUGGAGUGAGCGAUUUCAAAAGCUGUCAUCUUUGAGGCAUGGACUGCAUCCAGGCAGCUGAUCCUGUUAGCUCUUGCCUUGUCUUACACUGAGAUCUGGAAACAAGAGGGGUCAUAGGAGUUGGGUUCUCCUUGAGGCAAGGCUAGAAUAACCCUUGUGGGGACAUAGUGCAGAUGAAGGACCUGCAUGGGACAGAGGGGACUCUAAGAGGCACCAGGUGGCCCAGGAAGGAUCACAUUUGGCUUGUGCAGCCUAUGGCCAACAGCAAACCUGCUGCCUGCAGCGUAGGAGAGAUGUCUGGAACUGCCGGCAGGGAUGUCGAGUCAGGAGCUUCGCUGUGCAGUUGCUGAUGCCUCCUUCUGCUUGGUCAAAGCACUUAACCUCGGAUUUGAUCUAAGUGUCCGCUCCUCCAGUGAACUGAACAAUGUCCAAAGCAUCAGUACAUCCAUGGAAGCGACUGGGGAUGUCUUCCUGCUCUGCCCCUCCGCCCUCCCUGUGUGUCCAGAUCACUGUGGUCACAAGUGAGCUGGGGAUCUUCUCAGCACUGUAGGGGAUUUAGCCUUUGGAGAAAAAAAAGAGGAGAUCUUGGUUCCCAGCUCUGCCACUGACUCCCUGGGUGCUCUUGGUCAAAUCCCUUUGGUCUCUCUAGCUGGAAGAAUAACCCUGGAUGUGCCUCUGCAGCAAAGAGAGGAGAUGAUAGCCAUGUAGUGGCUCACCU